UUAGCAAGUGACAUUGACUGCCAAGUGUCAUGUUCUGAUUGGAUAUCAAUUCCAUGAAAGAUGAAAUACAUUGUUGCUUUCAUUGACCAAUCAAAACAUGACACGUGGUCGUCAUCAUCU
rfam:Glycine soja cultivar W05 scaffold3667_23, whole genome shotgun sequence.